GGGAUCCUACGGGAGGCAGCAGUAGGGAAUAUUGCUCAAUGGGGGAAACCCUAAAGCAGCAACGCCGCGUGGAGGAUGAAGGUUUUCGGAUUGUAAACUCCUUUUGUUAGAGAAGAUAAUGACGGUAUCUAACGAAUAAGCACCGGCUAACUCCGUGCCAGCAGCCGCGGUAAUACGGAGGGUGCAAGCGUUACUCGGAAUCACUGGGCAUAAAGAGCGCGUAGGCGGGAUAG
rnacentral:rRNA from 1 species